rnacentral:lncRNA from 1 species
GCCAAGGCACACGCACACGCACCGACCCACUCAUUGCUUUCCAUCCCAGGUGCCAAAACUUCUCGAAGCAGGUGCAGCCCCUCACCCGGCAGGUCCAGGCUGGCCCGGCGCCCCCUCGCUCACCUUAUCCAGGCAGUUGACUUUCUCGGUGGGAUACACGACUUUUCCGCAACGGGCGCACUGGGGGUUCAUGAUCGCGGUUCCCGGGGGCGGCGGCGGCGGCUGCUGGCUCCCAGGAGCCGCUGUGACAUCCCCCGGCGAGCCCCGCACCGCCUCCUGGCAGGCGGGAGGGCUGCGGGCGGCGGGCGCCGGAUAGGGAGUCGGCGCCGGGCCCCGGGUGAGUGCACGGGGAGGGCGACGGGGCCUGGCGCCUGGGGCCGGCCGCGCUCUCGGGCUCGCAGGCGCUGGGGCUCGGCUCCGGCUCCGGCUCCGCGCCGCUGGCUCUGCGUCGCUCGCACUCCAGCGGGGGCACCCUCAUCCCAGGCUGACUGACGUCCCUGCCACCCAAAUGUCGCGGGGAGUGCGGGGCCAGGGUGUGCCCUCCCUCCUCCUCCAGCCAGUGAAACCCGGGACAGCGGCACCCAGCCCCAGGGCGGAGGCCGUCUUUGCUGCGCGCAGCGACGCACCCAGGCCCAAGGGCCGGGAGAUCCGCGGGGAACCCGGAGACCUGCGUCCCAGAGGGGCCGAGGGUUGCACCGCGCCCGCUCCCACGGGCCUUUUCAGAGAGGACGCUUCUCCCGCGUGUCCGCGGGAAGUCCUCGGAUCCUGGAUGAGAAAGAGCCUUCUCUCACCGGCUCCCAGACCCCGCGCUUUUUAAUACCUGUCCUUGCAGAGCGACUGGUCAUUUUAGGCCCUAGUCAAGCCUCUCUUGAUUAAUAAAUGACCAUGGCUCGUUUUGUUUUAAGUGUGCGUGGAUGUAUACGUUGUAUUGUUUUGCAAUUCAACACCGCAAAGAUCUGGGAAAAGUUCUUCACCUGCAUUAAGGAAAGCAAUUACAAACUCGUAGUCCAAACCAGAAGAGCCAGAAACUCAAGUAGAAGGCUCAGGGUAGGAUGAAACCAAACGGAACAGGAAUCGUUUCUUCCUUUUACUAAGAUGUCAGGUUAUUGGACUCACUUGAUGAGAGGCAGCAAAAUGAAUCGAACACAGCCUGGGUUCAAAGCCUGACCCCGCCAUCUAAUGAUGUGACCUUCUGCAAAUUCUUAGUCGCUCUAUGCCUCAAUUCUUUAAUCUACAAAAUGGGAAUACGGAAGCAGCUACCGAACAGCUUCUACUCUCCUGCUGUGAGGAUUAAAUGAGUCAGCAGUUCCGAGCUGCUUCAAUCGGCCUGGCUCAAGGGAAGCUCCACGGAAGAGUCAGCUAGGAUUAUUAUAAAUUGGUUAUAACAAAGAAGCGAACACAUUCCGUUGCUAGAGCACAGAUUAAGACUCAAUAAUGCCACAUACCAACUGCCACUGCUCUGACAAAUAUUUCUGUCAUUUCAAAAAAAUAUCAUGGCUGCAGCUUUUCAUGACAAAAGAAAACCAUUGGUUUCUGGGCCUCUUAAACAGCUGCACUGAAGGACAUAUUCAUAAUAAUGCUGUACUGUUUGACUUUCCAGAAGAUGUAACUUCUUUAAAGGAUUCUCCAAAUUCAACAGCCCCUGAGCCACUCACUCACUGCCAUCUUCACA